GUCCACGCCGUAAACGAUGUCUACUAGCCGUUGGGACUCUUGAAGUCUUAGUGGCGCAGCUAACGCACUAAGUAGACCGCCUGGGGAGUACGGCCGCAAGGUUAAAACUCAAAUGAAUUGACGGGGGCCCGCACAAGCGGUGGAGCAUGUGGUUUAAUUCGAUGCAACGCGAAGAACCUUACCAGGCCUUGACAUCCUGAGAACUUUCUAGAGAUAGAUCGGUGCCUUCGGGAAUUCAGUGAC
rnacentral:rRNA from 1 species